ensembl:lncRNA
GUUGUUACUUUUCAAGGCACGGAGCAGAUGGGGAUGGGGCAAAAUGCAGCCAUCAGUGGAGCAGAUAUGUAUGCACAACUCCUGUCCCAGCUACCCCAUAUCACAACCAAGAAGAACCCUGGGCCAUAGUCAAGCUAGCCUGCAAAGAAAAUUCCAGAAAUAUUUUUUUGGUGUUUAUGGUUUUUAAAUCCUUACCAUAUAACCAUCAGUCCUCUUCAUUGGGGUCAGAAUCAUCUAUGGCACCUGCUGGGGAGUUCAUGAAGGUUUAUUUGAAGACAUUAGACAUCUGCCGGGUUGGAAGACACAGCUGCCUGUAGAAAAAAAUCACAAGAGUCAGGUGCCAGCCAUAGAGAUACCCCUGAGGACCUAUCUGCAAUGAGCCCUAAUUGAAUGAAGAUUGAUGGGAACAGAAUUUCCAAGGCCAUUUACAGAUGAAGGUGCCAGCUUCCUAAGCCAUGACUGCCAUGAACUGCAAGAGCUAAUAUUCAUCCCUCAAGCCCUCCCUGCCAUCACCAUGAAGGAGCUUCGUCAUUCUUCUCUGGUGACCCUGAACAGCAUUUCAGCUGGCCUCCUAAGGCAGAAGGUUAAAGAAGUCAGACGGAAGUCUCCCAUCACUGUCGAGUUCUACUGGAGCUGUUUCCCCCACCUAAUCGUCUCCCAAGCCUGUCUGCUCAGUUCAAGCCCCUGUUACCACAUAGAAAAAUCAUCAGUCUCAUCACUUCACUGUAUGCCUGAAACUCUGCAAAUCAACUCUCUGCUGUGCUGUGCUAAGUCGCUUCAGUUGUGUCUGACUCUGUGUGACCCUAAGGACUGUACCCUACCUGGCUCCUCUGUCCAUGGGAUUCUCCAGGAAAGAAUAUUGGAGUGGAUUGCCACGCUCUCUUCCAAGGGAUCUUCCCAAUCCAGGGAUCGAACCCUGGUUUCCUGCAUUGCAGGCAGAUUCUUUACCAUCUAAGCCACGAGGGAAGCCCCAAUAAUCAACUCUACUUCAAUUUUUUAAAAAUGCAUAAUAACCUGUAAUGGAAAAGAAUCUGAUAAAGAAUACAGGUAUGUGUAUGACUGAAUCACUUUGCUGUACACUUGAAACUAACACAACAUUGCAAAUUAACUG